UACGUAGGGGGCAAGCGUUGUCCGGAAUUACUGGGCGUAAAGCGCGCGCAGGCGGUUCGUUAAGUCAGAUGUGAAAGCCCCGGGCUCAACCUGGGAACUGCAUUUGAAACUGGCGGGCUUGAGUGUGGCAGAGGGGGGUGGAAUUCCGCGUGUAGCAGUGAAAUGCGUAGAGAUGCGGAGGAACACCGAUGGCGAAGGCAGCCCCCUGGGCCAACACUGACGCUCAGGCACGAAAGCGUGGGGAGCAAACAGG
rnacentral:rRNA from 1 species